GACGAACGCUGGCGGCGUGCCUAAUACAUGCAAGUCGAGCGGACAGAAGGGAGCUUGCUCCCGGAAGUUAGCGGCGGACGGGUGAGUAACACGUGGGCAACCUACCCUGUAGAUCGGGAUAACAUCGAGAAAUCGGUGCUAAUACCGGAUAAUCAUUUGAAGUGCAUGCUUCGAAUGUAAAAGAUGGCUCCGGCUAUCACUACGGGAUGGGCCCGCGGCGCAUUAGCUAGUUGGUAAGGUAAUGGCUUACCAAGGCAACGAUGCGUAGCCGACCUGAGAGGGUGAUCGGCCACACUGGGACUGAGACACGGCCCAGACUCCUACGGGAGGCAGCAGUAGGGAAUCUUCCGAAAUGGACGAAAGUCUGACGGAGCAACGCCGCGUGAGUGAUGAAGGUUUUCGGAUCGUAAAGCUCUGUUGUUAGGGAAGAACAAGUGCCGUUCGAAUAAGGCGGCACCUUGACGGUACCUAACCAGAAAGCCACGGCUAACUACGUGCCAGCAGCCGCCGUAACAC
rnacentral:rRNA from 1 species